rfam:Simkania negevensis Z main chromosome, complete genome
GGCGGCAUAGCUCAGUUGGUAGAGCAGCGGAAUCAUAAUCCGUUGGUCCUUGGUUCGAGUCCGAGUGCCGCUA